UCACUAUAGACCUCAUGAAGCUGAAUAGCUUUGCUGAGCCACCUUACAACUAAGCCAUCUGGCUUCUAGGUCGCACUUGGGACAUUAAUUUCGAACUGGCAGAUGUGGCUCUGUUAACAGCUGCAGCGAACUGUCCAACUGCCACUAUCAGUAGCUAAAUUGCACAUGACAUCUCCUCACAGUGGCAAUGGCAGUACUUGUUAGCAUACAGAAACUUAAGCGUAGCUACUACACUUGUUACACUGCACCUGACAAAUGAAUGGACUGCACAUUACCACUCGUAAAAUCACCAUGUCUGACAGCCUAAGUGGAUGUCCCAAGUGUGGCCAGCAUGCCAGAUGGCCUGGCCACUGGGUGACUCAGCAAAGUGACAUGCCAUUGGUCUGCAAACAUUUGUUCCCAAUAUAUAUUGAAAAGUAGAAUGAUAAACUACUCAUACAAGGAUAGUGUAUAUGAAAUACUGUGUAUUUGCACCUUAUGUGAUGUGGUAAACUUGAAUGUUUGCAUGUAAACCUGUAAAUAAUGCACACCAUGCAAUAAUACUGACAAUCACUGAACACUAGAUUAUGCCUCUACUACAUAAUUGUUCCUCAAAUAAAUUUUGUGUAAAGUUUAAUGCUUAAACACAGCACACCUCAAUAUUUUUACCUUUUUGGGGGAUUGCUUUUUUUAUGCCUUUGUUUUUUACAUCUGUGGUGUCCUAGACCAAAGCUGUGCCUAUUGGGUUGACCUGUACACUUGUCAGAAGUUUUCUGCUCUCUUUUUGUUCUCCAUGCUCACAAUACUAGGUUAUGUAUGCUGUCUUGAGGUUUGUCGAUGACAACAGUGUUGUUGUUGUCCCAACUAACUGGUUGUUGAAGAAUAAAAAGAUGUGUUUGUGGCCGACUAUGCUGGGCACCCAUGAAUUGACGAAAGCUGUGAAACGACGUGCCCAUCUCAAUCCUUCUACAACGCCUAACUUCAAGGUGAAGGUGAUCAAAACUACAGCAACAUACGAUGAAGCUCGGCAGAAGUUGCCACAAGCGGAAAAUUCAGACAAUGUCGACACAACAGAUCAAGAAAAAGGACGUGGUAAGCGGCGCAAAUACGCACGCAUUUUGAGCUCGUCGGAUGAUUCGGAAGAGGAAGACAAUUUCAAUCUUCCAGAACCACCCUUCUCUCAAAGGUAGUAGCUGUUUUCAGGCACUCUUUCAAAAUAUGC
rnacentral:lncRNA from 1 species